rnacentral:rRNA from 1 species
UACGUAGGCGGCAAGCGUUGUCCGGAAUUAUUGGGCGUAAAGCGCGCGCAGGCGGUCCUUUAAGUCUGAUGUGAAAGCCCACGGCUCAACCGUGGAGGGUCAUUGGAAACUGGGGGACUUGAGUGCAGAAGAGGAAAGCGGAAUUCCACGUGUAGCGGUGAAAUGCGUAGAUAUUGGGAAGAACACCAGUGGCGAAGGCGGCUCACUGGCCCGGUACUGACGCUGAGGCACGAAAGCGUGGGGAGCAAACAGG